AUUGAACGCUGGNGGCAGGCCUAACACAUGCAAGUCGAGCGGCAGCGGGAAAGUAGCUUGCUACUUUUGCCGGCGAGCGGCGGACGGGUGAGUAAUGCCUGGGAAAUUGCCCAGUCGAGGGGGAUAACAGUUGGAAACGACUGCUAAUACCGCAUACGCCCUACGGGGGAAAGCAGGGGACCUUCGGGCCUUGCGCGAUUGGAUAUGCCCAGGUGGGAUUAGCUAGUUGGUGAGGUAAUGGCUCACCAAGGCGACGAUCCCUAGCUGGUCUGAGAGGAUGAUCAGCCACACUGGAACUGAGACACGGUCCAGACUCCUACGGGAGGCAGCAGUGGGGAAUAUUGCACAAUGGGGGAAACCCUGAUGCAGCCAUGCCGCGUGUGUGAAGAAGGCCUUCGGGUUGUAAAGCACUUUCAGCGAGGAGGAAAGGUCAGUAGCUAAUAUCUGCUGGCUGUGACGUUACUCGCAGAAGAAGCACCGGCUAACUC
rnacentral:rRNA from 1 species